CCCCGGCUAGCUCAGCUGGUGGAGCAUGGGACGCUUGAUCUGAGGAUCGUGGGUUUGAGCCCCACGCCGGGCG
rnacentral:tRNA from 1 species